rnacentral:rRNA from 1 species
ACGUGAUCUGAGUUCAGACCGGAGUAAUCCAGGUCAGUUUCUAUCUAUAAAGGACUUUUUUUAGUACGAAAGGACCAAAAAAGUAUGGCCAAUACUAAAAGCAAGCCAUAAAAUUAAUUUAUGACCUCAACUCAAUAAACAAGCAACCUACAAUUCAAGCUCUAAAAAAGAGCA